ensembl:lncRNA
CACAGAUCAGACCAGAGAGAUCGCACCUGACUGUGUGAGAUUCAGCCCAAGAGGGACGCCAUCAUGCUUCCAGAUGGAGUUUCCAUGGUUACCGAUGGAUGCAUUUUGGAAUUACAAACUGUGUCGUGGAGCUCCACAUUGGGAACAAGAGAACUGAAUGAAGGGGACCAUAUGGAAAGAUAAAGAGAGAGAGGCAGUGUAUUUACACCAGUUAUAUGUAGUA